GACGUAGGGCGCGAGCGUUGUCCGGAUUUAUUGGGCGUAAAGAGCGUGUAGGCGGCCCGGUAAGUCCGCUGUGAAAGUCGGGGGCUCAACCCUCGAAUGCCGGUGGAUACUGUUGGGCUAGAGUGCGGAAGAGGCGAGUGGAAUUCCUGGUGUAGCGGUGAAAUGCGCAGAUAUCAGGAGGAACACCAAUUGCGAAGGCAGCUCGCUGGGACGUAACUGACGCUGAGACGCGAAAGCGUGGGGAGCAAACAGG
rnacentral:rRNA from 1 species